rnacentral:rRNA from 1 species
UACGGGGGGGGCAAGCGUUGUUCGGAAUUACUGGGCGUAAAGCGCACGUAGGCGGAUUGUUAAGUCAGGGGUGAAAUCCUGGAGCUCAACUCCAGAACUGCCUUUGAUACUGGCGACCUUGAGUCCGGGAGAGGUGAGUGGAACUGCGAGUGUAGAGGUGAAAUUCGUAGAUAUUCGCAAGAACACCAGUGGCGAAGGCGGCUCACUGGCCCGGUACUGACGCUGAGGUGCGAAAGCGUGGGGAGCAAACAGG